rnacentral:lncRNA from 1 species
AGAAUUCAAUAACAAAAUGCAUAAUCCAAUUCAAAUAUUCAAUUCAAAUGCGUACAGUGUUUUCUCUUGAAAUUCUGGAAGGCUAUACCACAUACAAAUGCUAAAUAUUUUUAACAUGAACAACACCUCAUCAUCCUCAUUUAAUCUUAUAAUAUACUACAUAGUUCCUGUCAGAGCGCAUCGUUCUUCCCUUCCUCUAAUGCUCAGAGUUAGAACCUUCCUUUUCAACGAGGUUAUUAUAUGACUGUUUCUACAGAUCAUGAAACAAUGGUGUCAUCGCAAGACAACAAGACAUGUGGGGCAGUUGAAGGGACUCAAUCCUGAGAAAGACACUGAACCAUCAGUCAGUGAGUAGCAAAUGAUACUGAAAAACCAAAUCUAAUUGAAAAAGCAACCACUAAACAAACAAAAACACCAAGUGCCUAUGUCCACCCAAGAAAGGCCCAAGUGCAAAAUAUUCUAAUAGAAGAAAAAAUUAUCAUACCUGUUAGCACAGAAAAAUCCUUGAUAGUCACACUCAUUGGUACAAGCAUUUCCUUCCGUCUCUGGAUGAGCCUCAGACAGUAAAUCCUUACCAGCCAUAAUUUGCAUCAUUAUUCACCAAAUUACUUUUCAUCUUUGCCAGAAAGAGUGCUAACUGCUCUACUGCUGCUCUUCUUCUGUCUCUCAACUAUAUGAAGCAUUGAACAUUUGUUUAAGAAAGAGAAAACUGUAUACAGAUGGUACUUGACAUAAAUCAAUGGCAGAAUGCCACUUUAUAUUCCAUGCCAUGUAAAGUUAAGGGAAAACUACAACUGAGCAAAAUUAACAAUUCUUAC